GUAGCACAGAGAGCUUGCUCUCGGGUGACGAGCGGCGGACGGGUGAGUAAUGUCUGGGAAACUGCCUGAUGGAGGGGGAUAACUACUGGAAACGGUAGCUAAUACCGCAUAACGUCGCAAGACCAAAGAGGGGGACCUUCGGGCCUCUUGCCAUCAGAUGUGCCCAGAUGGGAUUAGCUAGUAGGUGGGGUAACGGCUCACCUAGGCGACGAUCCCUAGCUGGUCUGAGAGGAUGACCAGCCACACUGGAACUGAGACACGGUCCAGACUCCUACGGGAGGCAGCAGUGGGGAAUAUUGCACAAUGGGCGCAAGCCUGAUGCAGCCAUGCCGCGUGUAUGAAGAAGGCCUUCGGGUUGUAAAGUACUUUCAGCGAGGAGGAAGGCAUUAUGGUUAAUAACCUUAGUGAUUGACGUUACUCGCAGAAGAAGCACCGGCUAACUCCGUGCCAGCAGCCGCGGUAAUACGGAGGGUGCAAGCGUUAAUCGGAAUUACUGGGCGUAAAGCGCACGCAGGCGGUCUGUCAAGUCGGAUGUGAAAUCCCCGGGCUCAACCUGGGAACUGCAUUCGAAACUGGCAGGCUAGAGUCUUGUAGAGGGGGGUAGAAUUCCAGGUGUAGCGGUGAAAUGCGUAGAGAUCUGGAGGAAUACCGGUGGCGAAGGCGGCCCCCUGGACAAAGACU
rnacentral:rRNA from 1 species